rfam:Leptolyngbya valderiana BDT 20041 contig00003, whole genome shotgun sequence.
GAGCCCGUAGCUCAAUUGGAUAGAGCGCUGGCCUCCGAAGCCAGAGGUUCCGCGUUCGAAUCGCGGCGGGCUCG